rnacentral:lncRNA from 1 species
AGAUCUUCCCACGUGCUGCCCCCAAAGCCUGAGGAGGGGCCUGAACGGCAGGCCUGGGCCUCUUACUGGGUUGGACAGGCAUGGUAGGCGCUGGCCUGCGGAGCGGGGCUGAGGGUCGGGAACUUCCCGCUAGCUGAGGGUGGGUGUCGAAGCUCCUUUCUAUGAUCUGCGCCUUUGCCAGGACUGCCGAAUAUGUCUCGAGCUCCAUCACCAAUAAGUGCUGUCUGAUCGCCGGGCGGAGGCCCCACUGGAAUUUUCUGGCCUUUCGGCCCUCAUCCAACAAUGUCUCCGGGGCAUGUCGGCCCAGCUCCAGGAACUUGUGGGCAUACUCCGACACUGUCAUAUUAC